GACAGAGGGGGCAAGCGUUGCUCGGAAUUACUGGGCGUAAAGGGCGCGUAGGCGGGAUGGCAAGUCGGUCGUGAAAUCCCUCGGCUCAACCGAGGAACGUCGAUCGAUACUGCUGUUCUUGAGGAUUGCAGAGGAGACUGGAAUUCCCGGUGUAGCGGUGAAAUGGUGUAGAGAGUCGGGAGGAACGACCGGUGGCGAAGGCGGGUCUCUGGGCAAUUCCGUGACGCUGAGGCGCGAAAGCCAGGGGAGCGAACGGG
rnacentral:rRNA from 1 species